GAUGAACGCUGGCGGCGUGCCUAAUACAUGCAAGUCGAGCGAACGGACGAGAAGCUUGCUUUUCUGAUGUUAGCGGCGGACGGGUGAGUAACACGUGGAUAACCUACCUAUAAGACUGGGAUAACUUCGGGAAACCGGAGCUAAUACCGGAUAAUAUUUUGAACCGCAUGGUUCAAUAGUGAAAGACGGUUUUGCUGUCACUUAUAGAUGGAUCCGCGCUGCAUUAGCUAGUUGGUAAGGUAACGGCUUACCAAGGCAACGAUGCAUAGCCGACCUGAGAGGGUGAUCGGCCACACUGGAACUGAGACACGGUCCAGACUCCUACGGGAGGCAGCAGUAGGGAAUCUUCCGCAAUGGGCGAAAGCCUGACGGAGCAACGCCGCGUGAGUGAUGAAGGUCUUCGGAUCGUAAAACUCUGUUAUUAGGGAAGAACACAUGUGUAAGUAACUAUGCACAUCUUGACGGUACCUAAUCAGAAAGCCACGGCUAACUACGUG
rnacentral:rRNA from 1 species